CUGCUUUCACUUCUUCGGUUCUUCUCUUCCUUUUAUGCUCUGUUUGCUGAUUUUUUUGAAUGUGAAAUUGUGAAUAGAUUAAUAGAAAUCAAAUAAUUGAUUUUUUUCUGCUUCUCAGUUUUUAAUUCCUGAAAUUUUUGUUGAAAUUUUCUUGAUGUUGCUAAAACUGGAUUAGGGAUUAGGAAUUACUUGUUGCUGUUUUGUAAUUAGGGAUUAUGCUCUGUUAGCUUUAUUGAUUUCAGGUUUAGUGUGAUUAGGGAUUACUUGUUGCUGUUUUGUAAUGUUUGUUGCUGAAUGCUAAAAUGGAAAUCAAAUCAAAUGCUGUUUGUUGCUUCCAUAUAUUUUCUUUGAUAGUAUUUUCCCGAUUAUAAAUUCUGGUUUUGAGUCAAAACUUUGUAUUUGUUUUGUCUGUAGUUUGAUUUGAGAUCAUUAGAUCUGAUCCGAUCCUAUUAAGUUCAAAUUAUUCGUUUGGAUUUUUGGUGUAGAAUUGUUGGUUACCUGUUUGAAGUGUGUAUUUCUUGUAAUUGGAUCUGUUUUGAACUGGAUUGUGAUUUUAUGCUGCAUUAAGUGUUGAUAGUUCAUCUUGGGUGUAGUUUUGGGAUCAUUUACUUGUUAAUUCUCGGACAUUUAGUUUAGUAAGGAUCUUCUUGUACAAAUUUGUUAUCUUUUUUUAGGUUCCUUAUAGAUUUAUUUGUAAUAAAUUUAUAUAAAUGCUGGAUCAUUUUGAACAUGUCUGUUGGUUUAAUUUCACUUUGUAGUAUAUAUCAUUAUAUCUUAAAUGGUUUCUGAAGUCUUAUCUUUGAACGAGGUAUUUUUGUACUCUUUAUUUUUAGUUAGGCCAUUUUCAAGAUGGAGUUUUAAUUUUUUUUUUCUUUUCAGUAUAUAUGUAAUCCCUUAGUUAAAAUUUUCUUUUGCUGAAAAUCAUCACUAAGUUGAAUUUUUGUUGCUGAUUGAACCUUAAAUUUGUUGCUGUCUUGUGAAUAAUCAC